UGGGGAAUAUUGCGCAAUGGGGGGAACCCUGACGCAGCCAUGCCGCGUGAAUGAAGAAGGCCUUCGGGUUGUAAAGUUCUUUCGGUAUUGAGGAAGGUUGAUGUGUUAAUAGCACAUCAAAUUGACGUUAAAUACAGAAGAAGCACCGGCUAACUCCGUGCCAGCAGCCGCGGUAAUACGGAGGGUGCGAGCGUUAAUCGGAAUAACUGGGCGUAAAGGGCACGCAGGCGGUUAUUUAAGUGAGGUGUGAAAGCCCUGGGCUUAACCUAGGAAUUGCAUUUCAGACUGGGUAACUAGAGUACUUUAGGGAGGGGUAGAAUUCCACGUGUAGCGGUGAAAUGCGUAGAGAUGUGGAGGAAUACCGAAGGCGAAGGCAGCCCCUUGGGAAUGUACUGGCGCUCAUGUGCGAAAGCGUGGGGAGCAAACAGGAUUAGAUGCCCUGGUAGUCCACGCUGUAAACGCUGUCGAUUUGGGGGUUGGGGUUUAACUCUGGCGCCCGUAGCUAACGUGAUAAAUCGACCGCCUGGGGAGUACGGCCGCAAGGUUA
rnacentral:rRNA from 1 species